GGGAAAGUGGCUCAGUGGUAGAGUGCUUGCCUAACAUGCAUGAAGCCCUGGGUUUGAUUCCUCUGUACCC
rnacentral:tRNA from 1 species